CUGGGGGCCAAGAGCCAGCAUGCUGAGCCCGGCUGCUCACACCAUACAAGGAGGUCUGAUGGGGAGAGGAGGCUUACUUCCUGCUUGGGGGGUUGGUGGGUGAGGGCUGGAGGAGAUACCAGCCUUUCUUCCCACCUCCCCUGGCUGCUCCUCACCUGCAAAAGCAGAAAACAGAAAAUUCUGGAAAAGACUGGGAAGCAAAACUCACCAUGAUCCCAUCUAAUGCCCAGGCUGAAGGAAUCUCGCUCCCAGGAGUCACUGCUCAGUCCAAGUAGCGCUGUCGAGGCCCUGGAUCUCAGCAUGGAGGAAGAAGUGGUCAUUAAGCCUGUUCAUAGCAGCAUCCUGGGGCAGGAUUUCUGCUUUGAGUUUUCCAUUGGAGUUGGAACUGGAAUAUUUCCCGUCAGACCAAAUUUAUCUGUAAGAAACGGAUGGAAGAUAUUCAUGUGUAAAGGUGGCUAGUAAUGAUUCAAAAUACACAAAACAGCAGGAAUGCGUAUAACUACACUGUGGCAAAGUACAGUGGUACCUCUGGAUAUGAACUUAAUUCGUUCUGGAGGUCCGUUCUUAACCUGAAACCGUUCCUAACAUGGAGGUACCUCUUUAGCUAAUGGGGCCUCCCGCCGCCGCCGCGCGAUUUCUGUUCUCAUCCUGGGGCAAAGUUCUCAACCCGAGGUACUAUUUCCGGGUUAGCAGAGUCUGCAACCCAAAGUGUUUAUAACCUGAGGUGUUUGUAACCCAAGGUACCACUGUGCUAUAUUCCACAAACAACUCAAACUGAUCCUGGCUGUGUUGUACUGUAUUUAUUUAGUACUAGAUCAAAUCAGAAAGACGACCAAAGAUUCCCUUCAGAAAAUAAAAUCAGAUUGCCACAGUGUGCCUUUAGAAAGUGACAACCGACAAUGCACACUGAUUCCCCAUUUCCCUCUGGAAAAAAGUGGGGGACAAGGGAGGGAGAGAGGGAGAGAGAGAGUGCCAGCUACUAAUGAACAAAGGGGUACUUCUUCCCAAAAGUACACAACAGUACAUGCUCCCCCCACCCAGUGUUUGAAACUCCCAUUGUUCUAGGUGCAUUUUGCGAAAGGGGAUUUCAUUAGUGCGAGCAGUUUCUGAGCUCUGACUACAGUAUUGCACCUAAGAUUUCAGAUUAAACCUGAAGAGUGGAAGGAAGACCUUUUCCUGAGGGGGGUGGGCAGGUGAAGGACCAGACCAUGUGAAAAAUGAACACAUUAUUUUAGCUGCUGUUCAUUCAUUUUCAAGCUUUGUAUUCUUGUUAUAAGAAACUACAGUACGCCUAGACACUUCGUUAACUGAUGUGGUUAAACUUUUUUUAAUAAUGAAAAAAAACUUAGACUGAGUUUUAGCACACAUGAAAAACUUACAACAAAACCUUAUUUCCUAAUGAAUAGCCUUUGGACUGUAAUGUAACUUAAACAGAAAACUAUCUUUAGAAAGAUUUUUCCUCCAGAAGCAUUUUAGAAAUCUGAUUUGAAUUUUAAAAAAUCUGAUUUAAAUAAAAAAGCCACAAAAACUACAUCACACACUUUGUACAUAUCAAGCAUUGUGCAUAUUUACACUCUGAAUCAUGUUGUUGAACAAGAAUUUACAAACCAGCCAUCUAUCAUCAAUUGUGAUACAACAGAAAGAAGCCUACAAAGAACUAUACUGCAAGGUUAGCAUGCAAUGGAAAUAAAAGAGUUCCAAAGAAAGUGACUAGACAUGACAUAAUUCACACAAUUAGCAAUUAUGUUAACCAUUUUCCCCAGAGUAAAUAGCCAUGCAGUAGGAGGGAAAUCCAGAUCAGGUCUGCAGCAGGGUACCCCCACCCCUCCCCACAACUCAGUACAAAGCAGUUCCCUAAGCAUGGACGUGGUCAAAUUCAACCCUCGAAAUUUGAUUUUACCCUAAUCUGAAGCCACGGAGAGCUGCUGGCGCAGUCAACACUGCGCUACCAUGCACCGGCAGCAAGGCACGAGGCGGCUUCCUAGGCGAUACCCCUAUUUAAAAGGGCGCCCCAAGGUCUCUGGGAAAGCAUGUGCAGAGGCGGCCGAUCAACAUCAACCAUGCCGCUGGCCCCCCGACGACCGAGGACUGGUUCCGGCAAAGGAUAGGCCGCUCAGGAGCCCUA